AAAUUACUGAUCUGCUGGCAUUAAAGGGAAAUAACUUUUGUUGAGUUAUUGUACACUAAAAAAUUAAUCAAUGAUACCAGGCUUCUGAUUUUGCCUACAAAAAAAUCAUGAAUACGACUUGAAUAAAAAAAAAAUGAAUUGCCAAAUUAGGAGGAAGUUGAAGGGCAUUUUACUGUAAUAGGACACAAAUUACAAAGGUUUUGCCAAAUACUGCUUAUAAGUUAUCUUGUGCUCCAUGGUAGAGAAUCCUUAGUACUUUGAACAAUGCAACGUUUGGCAAAACAGCUGUUAAUCUAUAAUUUUACCAUAUCAAUAAAAAUUCAUGUCAAAAUAAAAUUACUGACUACUGGACUGGUGAUACUUUCUUAAUUUAC
rnacentral:lncRNA from 1 species